GCAUAAUAUUCGUAGAUAUGCCUGUUGGCACUGGAUUUUCCUAUGCAAGAACCCAACUUGCUUCUCAUUCAACUGACUUGAUUCAAGUUCGCCAAGCAGAUCAAUUUCUUAGAAAGUGGCUAAUGGAUCAUCCAGAAUUCCUGUCGAACCCUGUCUAUAUCGCAGGGGACUCCUACUCUGGGAUUACCAUUCCAGCUAUAACUCAAAAAGUCUCAGAUGGGAACGAAGAGGGUAUGGAUCCACCAAUAAAUGUGAAGGGAUAUAUUAUAGGGAAUGGUGGUGCAGAUAUAAGUUUUGAUGCCAACUCAAAGAUCCCAUUUGCUCAUGGAAUGGGUCUUAUUUCUGAUGAACUCUAUGAGUCAUUAAAGAGAAGUUGUGGAGAAGAAUAUGUGAAUAUAGACCCCAACAAUACCGUGUGCUUGAAACACAUGCAGGAUUUUAACGAGGGUCUUUAUGGGCUCUUUCCUAAUCACAUCUUGGAACCCAUUUGUGGUUUUGCUUCUCCAAAGCCAUUUCAGAUACUUGAUAAAAGAUCUCUCAGCGACAACUCUCAAGACAUCCUUGAAAUCGAUCCAUUUUUUCCAACAAUUGGCUGUCGUAGUUAUGCAUACCUGCUUUCUUAUAUUUGGGCCGGUGACAACAGUGUUCGUGAAGCACUUCAUAUACGAGAGGGAAGCAUAAAGCAAUGGCAGCGAUGCAACUAUGGAAUACCUUAUACUUCUGACAUUCCAAGCAGUAUCAAGUAUCAUUUAUACCUUAGCAAGAAAGGCUACCGCUCAUUAAUCUAUAGUGGCGAUCAUGACAUGGUUGUGCCAUUCUUGGGAACUCAAGCAUGGAUAAGAUCUCUAAACUAUUCAAUUCUUGAUGAUUGGAGACCGUGGCUGGUUGAAGGCCAAGUUGCAGGGUACACAAGGACUUACUCUAAUCGGAUGACAUUUGCAACUGUGAAGGGUGCGGGGCACACAGCUCCAGAAUACAAGCCUGAAGAAUGUUUAGCCAUGCUCAAAAGGUGGAUAAAUCGGGAGCCUUUGUAAUUAUGUGCAUCAAAAGCCCUAAUAUAGAAAAUGCUAAUUGCCUAGCUUCCAAAAUAACGACGACC
rnacentral:misc_RNA from 1 species